rnacentral:lncRNA from 1 species
CAGCAGGUUCGGGGCUUUAUCGCAAAGCACCUGGACUCAUUUCGGGCAGGCACGUAGUUCUGUUCACACAGGACAGACCGGAGGCUCAGUCUUUUCCUAAAGUCACGGAGCUGGUGAACGAAGGAGCUGGGAUUGGAACCCGGGUUUGCGUGAUUCCGAAGUUUGUGUGUAUGCCUGGUGUGUGACACCCCCUCCCUAAAUCUUCACCAGCGUGAAGAUUUCCUGAGCGCUUGGGAAGGAGACUGCUGCUCAGAGAGACUGAGGAUCCAAGUUACUUAGCCUGGCUCUUUCACUGCCACCUCUGGGGUCCUGGGCAAAUACCCCCCAUUAAUCUUUUCUGAUUGUGCUUCACGUCCAAGGCUGCCCUCUGCCUCGCUCCCCGCUGUGUCCCUACCCUUCAUUCUAUUCAGGGGUCUCCUUACCCCACCUACCCACCUCAUCCUCGUCCCACUGAACCUGACUCUGAACUACAGAGGUGGGCCCCCACCCCCACUCCCAAACAACUACCUGCCCCUCCGGCUGCCUCCAGGUCCACUGGGAAUUUGCCCCUAAUUGCAUCUCAGGCUGGGAGGCUAUUAGUUUGUGAUUGCGUCCCCAGGGCCUGCCCUGCCCCCUGGGCGCCCACUCUCAGCUUCCACAGGGGUUCGAGAUGACGUAAAUCCCCAAUCUGAGAACCUGGCCAGCUCAGCUCACCAGCACCCUGCCGCCCAGUCCUGGGUGGGCUGGGUCCCCUCACUCUGGGGCAGCAGGAGGAGGCUCCCAGCCAGUGGAGCGCAGUGCACACAGCACGGAGCAGGCCAGGGAACCCGGAGAACACUCCCAUCAU